CAUGCAAGUCGAGCGAGAAUCUUCAGCAAUGAGGAGGACAGCGGCGAAAGGGAGAGUAAUAGGUAGAUACGUGCCCAAGGGUUCGGGAUAGCCACGCGAAAGUGUGAGUAAUACCGGAUAAUGUCCCCGGACCAAAGAUUUAUUGCCUUUGGAGCGGUCUACUUCCUAUUAGGUUGUUGGUGUGGUAAUGGCGCACCAAGCCGAAGAUGGGUAGCGGGUGUGAGAGCAUGACCCGCCUCACUGGGACUGAGAUACUACCCAGACACCUACGGGUGGCUGCAGUCGAGAAUCUUCCGCAAUGGACGAAAGUCUGACGGAGCGACGCCGCGUGAUGGACGAAGGCCCUCGGGUUGUAAACAUCUGUCGUAGGGGAGGAAAUUUUGACCGAUCCUAGGAGGAAGCACAGGCUAAACUCGUGCCAGCAGCCGCGGUAAUACGAGUUGUGCAAACGUUAUUCGGAAUCACUGGGCUUAAAGGGUGCGUAGGCGGGCGCGCAGGUCAGGUGUGAAAUCCCACGGCUCAACCGUGGAAUUGCGCUUGAAACCGCGUGUCUUGAGGGGGUCAGAGGAGAGCGGAACUGAUGGUGGAGCGGUGAAAUGCGUUGAUAUUAUCAGGAACACCGGUGGCGAAAGCGGCUCUCUGGGACCUUUCUGACGCUGAGGCACGAAAGCUAGGGGAGCGAACGGGAUUAGAUACCCCGGUAGUCCUAGCUGUAAACGAUCUGUACUAGUCCGUGGGGACCCCCACAUCCUCUCGGACGUAGCGAAAGUGUUAAGUACAGCGCCUGGGGAGUAUGGUCGCAAGGCUGAAACUCAAAGGAAUUGACGGGGGCUCACACAAGCGGUGGAGGAUGUGGCUUAAUUCGAGGCUACGCGAAGAACCUUACCUAGACUUGACUUGCUUAGAAUCCCUAUGAAAGUAGGGAGUGCCCUUCGGGGAGCCUUAGCGCAGUGCUGCAUGGCUGUCGUCAGCUCGUGUCGUGAGAUGUCGGGUUAAGUCCCUUACGAGCGAAACCCCUAUCUCAGUUGCCAGCGAGUAUGCCGGGACUCUGAAGAGGACCGCGUGGUGUAAACCCGAGAAGGUGGGGAUGACGUCAAG
rnacentral:rRNA from 1 species